rnacentral:rRNA from 1 species
UACCCGCAGCACAAGUGGUGGUCAUUAUUAUUGGGCCUAAAGCGUCCGUAGCUGGCUUGUUAGAUGCCUGGGUAAAUCGAUGCGCUCAACGCAUCGAACUCCGGGUAGACCGGCAAGCUUGGGACCGGGAGAGGCGUGAGCUACUCGAGGGGUAGGGGUAAAAUCCUGUAAUCCUUCGGGGAGGACCAGAGGCGAAGGCGUCACGCUAGAACGGCUCCGACAGUGAGGGACGAAGCCCUGGGGCGCAAACCGG